rnacentral:misc_RNA from 1 species
UUUCCGUAGGUGAACCUGCGGAAGGAUCAUUAUUGUAUAACCGAGGUGCGAGGGCUGUCGCUGACCCGAAAGGUCGUGCACGCCCGAGUGCCCUACACACAUCCAUCUCACCCCUAUGUGCACCACCGCGUGGGUCCCCCUUUGGCUUGUUCGGAGGGGGGCUUACGUUUUCACACAAACUUUGUAUGCAGUGUAGAAUGUAUUUUUUGUUUUUGCGAUCACGCAAUCAAUACAACUUUCAACAACGGAUCUCUUGGCUCUC